rnacentral:rRNA from 1 species
AUGAAUAUCAUUAGCUGGAACUGUCGUGGGAUUGGCAACGACGCGACGGUUCGAGAGCUUCGCACGUUAGUGCAACGGUUUGCCCCUUCCGUGCUAUGUCUGCAAGAAACACAAGUAGGAGGGUUACGGGCUAGAAACCUAGCUUUUUCUUUCGGUUUUAGUAGAUGUUACACUGUUGGUAGUAAUGGUAGAAGUGGAGGUCUGGCUAUCUACUGGAACGAUGAUUUAUUGCUUGAAUUGAUUCAUUACUCCCAAUACCACAUUGAUAUGAUUGUGAAGAAGAAUGGAGAGGAACCAUGGAGGCUCACCAACAUCUAUGGUGAAGAGACAGUUAGUGAGAGACAUAAAACAUGGGACCUGCUGAGAUUUUUAAGAAGUGAAUCUGAAUUACCUUGGGUCUGCAUCGGUGAUUAUAAUGAAGUGCUAUCUCCAGAGGAACACUUUGGAGUGGGAGAGAGGUGUGCGAGGCAGAUGACAGGCUUUAAAGAAGCAGUGGAUGUAGCUGGCCUAUGUGAUCUAGGGUUCGUUGGACCAAUCUAG